GAUGAACGCUGGCGGCGUGCCUAAUACAUGCAAGUCGAGCGAACAGAUGAGGAGCUUGCUCCUCUGACGUUAGCGGCGGACGGGUGAGUAACACGUGGAUAACCUACCUAUAAGACUGGGAUAACUUCGGGAAACCGGAGCUAAUACCGGAUAAUAUAUUGAACCGCAUGGUUCAAUAGUGAAAGACGGUUUUGCUGUCACUUAUGGAUGGAUCCGCGCCGCAUUAGCUAGUUGGUAAGGUAACGGCUUACCAAGGCGACGAUGCGUAGCCGACCUGAGAGGGUGAUCGGCCACACUGGAACUGAGACACGGUCCAGACUCCUACGGGAGGCAGCAGUAGGGAAUCUUCCGCAAUGGGCGAAAGCCUGACGGAGCAACGCCGCGUGAGUGAUGAAGGUCUUCGGAUCGUAAAACUCUGUUAUUAGGGAAGAACAAAUGUGUAAGUAACUAUGCACGUCUUGACGGUACCUAAUCAGAAAGCCACGGCUAACUACGUG
rnacentral:rRNA from 1 species